rnacentral:tRNA from 1 species
GGUGAGGUGUCUGAGCGGCUGAAGGAGCACGCCUGGAAAGUGUGUAUACGCGAAAGUGUAUCGAGGGUUCGAACCCCUCCCUCACCGCCA